rnacentral:rRNA from 1 species
UACAGAGGGUGCGAGCGUUAUUCGGAAUUACUGGGCGUAAAGCGCGCGUAGGCGGCUUUGCAAGUCGGGUGUAAAAUCCCCAGGCUUAACCUGGGAACUGCAUUCGAGACUGCAUUGCUAGAGUAUGGGAGAGGGAAGUGGAAUUUCCGGUGUAGCGGUGAAAUGCGUAGAUAUCGGAAGGAACAUCAGUGGCGAAAGCGACUUCCUGGACCAAUACUGACGCUCAUGUGCGAAAGCGUGGGGAGCAAACAGG